AGAGUUUGAUCAUGGCUCACGACCAACGCUGGCGGCGUGCUUAAUACAUGCGAGUCGAGCGGAGCCCUUCGGGGCUUAGCGGCGGGCGGGUGAGUAACACGUGGAUAACCUGCCUCUGGAUCUGGGACAACCGCUCGAAAGGGCUGCUAAUACCGGAUAAGCUCACGGCCUCGCAUGGGGCUGGGAGAAAAGGCGCUGUAAGGCGCUGUGCACAGAGGGGUCCGCGGCCCAUUAGCUAGUUGGAGGGGUAACGGCCCACCAAGGCGACUAUGGGUAGCUGGUCUGAGAGGACGGGCA
rnacentral:rRNA from 1 species